rnacentral:tRNA from 1 species
GUUUUGAGUAACUAAUUAAGUGUUGAACUUUUAAUUCAAUAAUGGCGUGGGCCCCAAGGCG